rnacentral:rRNA from 1 species
GGAUUUUCUUAGUAGCGGCGAGCGAAAAGAAAAUAGUUCAGCACUAAGUCACUUUGUCUUUAUGGCAAAUGUGAGAUGCAGUGUAUGGAAUGUCAAAUUUCUAGUAUGAGAAAUUAACGAUUUAAGUCCUUCUUAAAUGAGGCCAUUUACCCAAAGAGGGUGCCAGGCCCGUAUAACGUUAAUGAUUACUAGAUGGCAUUUCCAAAGAGUCGUGUUGCUUGAUAGUGCAGCACUAAGUGGGUGGUAAACUCCAUCUAAAACUAAAUAUAACCAUGAGACCGAUAGUAAACAAGUACCGUGAGGGAAAGUUGAAAAGAACUCUGAAUAGAGAGUUAAAUAGUACGUGAAACUGCUUAGAGGUUAAGCCCGAUGAACCUGAAUAUCCGUUAUGGAAAAUUCAUCAUUAUGAUUUUAAUAUUUAUAAUAUUAUAAUAAUGGUGUGCAUUUUUUCUAUAAAGGACAUUGUAAUCUAUUAACAUAUUAAUUUAUCAUAAGAUCAUUUGCGUAAGUUUAUUCAAAUUAUUUUGCUUGCAUUUUAAUAUCGAAUAAAUGCUUUUGAUUUGAUAAAGUGUUGAUAGAUAUAUUGUAUACAGUGCUUAAAUAUUUAUAUUUUAUAAUAGCAUAUUAAUCAAUGAUUUUUAUGUUCAUUAUAUGCACUUGUAUGAUUAACAAUGCGAAAGAUUCAGGAUACCUUCGGGACCCGUCUUGAAAC